CCUGGUGACCAUACCGAGGGGGAAACACCCGAUCCCAUUCCGAAUUCGGUCGUUAAGCCCCUCAGGGCCGAUGGUAGUAAUUCCGCAAGGGAUUGCGAGAGUAGGUCGUCGCCAGGC
rnacentral:rRNA from 1 species